UAUGGUCACUAGGGGUGCCGCAAGGCUGAGACGGACGUUAUUCAUGUUCGGACCCUUUGAACCUGAUCUGGAUUAUACCAGCGUAGGGAAGUGGAGAACGAAUAAC
rnacentral:ncRNA from 1 species